rnacentral:rRNA from 1 species
AUUGACGCUGGCGGCAGGCCUAACACAUGCAAGUCGAGCGAGCGGCGGACGGGUGAGUAAUGUAUGGGGAUCUGCCUGAUGGAGGGGGAUAACUACUGGAAACGGUAGCUAAUACCGCAUACCAUCAGAUGAGCCCAGAUGGGAUUAGCUUGUAGGUGGGGUAACGGCUCACCUAGGCGACGAUCCCUAGCUGGUCUGAGAGGAUGACCAGCCACACUGGGACGGGGACACGGCCCAGACUCCUACGGGAGGCAGCAGUGGGGAAUAUUGGGCAAUGGGCGAAAGUCUGAACGAGCAACGCCGCGUGUAUGAAGAAGGUUUUCGGAUCGUAAAACUCUUUUGUUAGAGAAGCGUUACCUAACCAGGAAGCACCGGCUAACUCCGUGCCAGCAGCCGCGGUAAUUC